UGGACUACUAGGGUAUCUAAUCCCGUUUGCUACCCUAGCUUUCGCGCCUCAGCGUCAGUAUCAGCCCAGCAACCCGUCUUCACCUCAGGUGUUCCUCUUGAUAUCUACGCAUUUCACCGCUACACCAAGAAUUCCGAUUGCCCCUUCUGUACUCUAGCAAAGCAGUAUCAGUUGACCGUUCCGAGUUAAGCUCGGAGAUUUCACAACUGACUUGAAUUGCCGCCUACGCGCCCUUUACGCCCAGUAAAUCCGAACAACGCUUGGUCCCUACGUAUUACCGCGGCGGCUGGCAC
rnacentral:misc_RNA from 1 species